GAAAGUUAUCCUUUAGACUGGCUUGAUUUAGGUCCUGAUAGUCCACACACAUUCAUACCUUCCCAUCCUAUUUAGGGACUGGCACGAUGUUGGCCACCCAUUCAGGAUAUCGAGCCACUGCCAAGAAGCCAGCUUUGAACUGCUUUUUCACUUCCUCUUUGAUUUUUAAGGACAUCUCGGGCUUCAUCCUUUGUAGCAUUUUCUUGACCGGGGAAUACUCGG
rnacentral:lncRNA from 1 species